rnacentral:rRNA from 1 species
UAGGGAAUCUUCCGCAAUGGACGAAAGUCUGACGGAGCAACGCCGCGUGAGUGAUGAAGGCUUUCGGGUCGUAAAACUCUGUUGUUAGGGAAGAACAAGUACAAGAGUAACUGCUUGUACCUUGACGGUACCUAACCAGAAAGCCACGGCUAACUACGUGCCAGCAGCCGCGGUAAUACGUAGGUGGCAAGCGUUAUCCGGAAUUAUUGGGCGUAAAGCGCGCGCAGGCGGUUUCUUAAGUCUGAUGUGAAAG